GACAGCAGCUGGGGCUCUGUGAGAGACUGUUAGAUCUGUAAGGGAGUGUGCUGGCCAUAAUCUCUGUGCUGUGGGAUAGGACAGUAUAUGGAAGGAAUGUGUCUGCACUUACAUCCAUCCCUGUUAGAAGAGAGAGAGAAGUGAUAGAAGCAUGGAGCACACAGCAGAGGCUGUUUCUGCAAUCCUUCUAGCCCUGCAAAAACCAAGCAGAACUGGGAUCCUUGUGGGAAAGCUCAUCCUUAAGAAGCUGAAUUAACAAUACAUAUUCUCAACUGUGGGCCUUUAACUUAAUCUUAAAACCACCAGGAAGGUUUCAUCACAUCUUUGAUAACACAUUAACAGUGAAUGCAUCAAAAAUCCUAUUACAUCCUUCUUAGGUUUGUACUGUGUGAAGAAUGUGUUUUUGUCUCUAAUGUGUGAAUUUAUAUUCUCAGAUGGUCUGCACACAGUCAAGCAGAUGACACGAAUUCUCUGGCCCAGAGUGAUCAGACACUUAGAAGCUUUGAGGAGACAGUGUAGCCUGAAACCAUCCCUCUUGGUGAUGUAUCAGUGCUGUGUACUGUGUCAAUCCCAUGCAUUAGCCACUAGUGCUGGGGCAGAUAGCAACAGUUGUCUGGAGACUGUCUACAGCUGCAGCCUCAGUAACCCACAACUCAUUUAUGAGUCAUCUCUCCAGAGCUAUAGCCAGGAUCAUUUAAGACCCCUGAAGCCUUAGAAGAUGAAGAAUUAUGUAGAUUCAAUGAUUAUGAAUAGCCACAUAAGUCUACUUUACCACUUGUCCUUCCACAGGAUCAUAAAAUCUCUCCAAGAGCUGAAUGGAUGUGCUUUUGCCACAGCCACUGCUUCCUACUAAUGCCAGAGUCUGUCCUUUGUUAACCUUCACAUUAAGUCCUUGCAAAACUUGAACUUCUGGUCUUGUUGGAUAUACAAAAUUGAUGUUUCUGAAUUCAAUGUUGCCUUCAAAAUUACUCUGAAAAGUAACAGAAUGUUUGUAUGAUUAUAUUAUCAUUUAUCAGCUUUAAAUAAACAGUCAAGACUUAAAAGUGUUGAAUGAGAAAACUGACACAGAAGUAUGGGACAGUGAUUUUGAAAUAGUUUUUGUUGUUCUUUGCAAUCACAUAUUAGAAUCAAGUUUAGUAUUGUCAUUUAUAGGAUGAUCUCUAGUUGCAAAUCACUAGAUCCUUUUGGAAUAACAGUUCUACGCAUUUCUCUCCUGUAUUUAUAUUUACUUCAGCUUUCAAAAGGAGUAUCUUUACACAAACAAUGUUAGUAUUUUUCAUUUGCUACACAUCUAAUUGAGGCACUUUUCCUGGUAUGAUCUAUCACAUUUACUCUCCUGAUCUCACAUUGCAGGUAGCAUGACUUGAAUGAAUACAUCACAAGGUUAAGAUCAGAUAUUAAAGAGAGGUAAAUUCUUCAGUAGGUAAUUUACAGGCACGUAUGACAAGCGGGUGUUUUGAAAAGCAACAGCGAUCAUUAAUCAGCCAUUCUAGACAGGCAGAUCUCUAAGACCAAAUGAAAGAAUGGGGCAGGCAUUCAGACCUUGCCUAGUUGCCUGCUUCCUCUUGGUAGGAGCAAGUCCCACAUAAAAACUAGCAACAUUCUAGGAAUGCUAGCACAACAGCUGAUUUAAGGGGUUUGCUCAAGACACGUGCACUAGUUUUUGAGUCCAGUCUAGACUAUACAUAUUUCUAUCCAAGUUUUAUUUUGCCAUAGAUUUUCUACCAAAUUUUUCGAAGCCUAUGCCUGAGAGCUCUGUUUCAAAGAGAUACACAAAGAACGUAAUUAAAAAGUUUGAAAAUCCUGUGUAAGAUCUUAAAGUUACUGAAAGUGGAUUACAGUUUCCUGUGCAGGGGCUACUGUCUAACACCUACAAGUGAGAUAAUUUUCAUUUGUAUGUGUAAACGUAAUCCUUCCACAUCAAGUCUCUGCACAAAGUUUAUUUGCCAAGAUCAGAUUCCUUAAUGACAAUGUUGAUUUAAAGACAAGACAUUUUAAACCUCUAGAGUAAAUCAUAUUAUUCAUUAAGUUAGUUUUGACUUCCCAAGAACACAUUUUCUUAUAAGAGAAACAGUUGUAAGGGGAUGGAUUUUGGCAAAAUUGUUCUUUCUCUGACAGGGCUACUCUCCUGUUUAUCUGCAAAAACAGUAGUAAACUGCACUUGUGUUUUAUUUCUCCCGUAAACCUUUACACAAAGGCAAUGAAUUGUGAACUGACAUUAUCAAUGUUUUCCUGAAACCAUUUAAAAUGUAGGGCAGUUGAAUGAAAAAUCAUUUCAGAUUUAUUGAGAGCAAAACCACAUUUAAGGUGACAGAUAGAAGGCCCAUUAAAAAAAAAAAAAAACUAGCCAGGCAGUAACACUAUUUUAUACAGCGUCUGUCUUUAGUGAUGCUCUACAAAACAUGAGGCAGUGCAAAUACAGUUGUAGACAACAAAGCAUUACUAAUAAUGUCAUUCAGGGUUUUUCUGAAAAAAACUCACCAAUUUUUCACCUUCUUCACUGUAACUGUCAAUUUGAGGUUUUCUAUCCAAAAGUUGAAAGAUUCUUUGAGCUGAAACUUUAGCUUUGCCAUAAUCUGGUGCCAGAGAAGCAGACUGACCAACAUUCAUAGCUGCAAAUAUGACAGAAGAGAAGACUCUAAAAACAAAAGAUAAAGAAUCACUUGUUUCUGGUGGAAUGUGCUGUUUUCUUCACAUAUAAAAUAAACCUUCAAAAAUAA